GUCCCACCUGACCCCAUGCCGAACUCAGAAGUGAAACGCCGUAGCGCCGAUGGUAGUGUGGCGUAAACCCCUGUGAGAGUAGGGAACUGCCAGGC
rnacentral:rRNA from 1 species